rnacentral:piRNA from 1 species
UCCAACAGUGCGGUUGCCUGGGC